rnacentral:tRNA from 1 species
UCUGAUUUAACAUAUAUUUAAUGUAGUAGAUUGUAAAUCUGUUUAAAACAAUUUUUGUUAGUCAGGU